rnacentral:rRNA from 2 species
AAGAUGAGAGUGCGCAACAUUAGUUAGUUGGUAAGGUAAUGGCUUACCAAGACUAUGAUGUUUAGCCGGGUUGAGAAACUGACCGGCCACACUGGGACUGAGAUACGGCCCAGACUCCUACGGGAGGCAGCAGUAGGGAAUAUUCCACAAUGAGCGAAAGCUUGAUGGAGCGACACAGCGUGCACGAUGACGGCCCUCGGGUUGUAAAGUGCUGUUAUUAGGGAAGAACACUUGAUAGAGGAAAUGCUAUCAAGCUGACGGUACCUGAUCAGAAAGCGAUGGCUAACUAUGUGCCAGCAGCCGCGGUAAUACAUAGGUCGCAAGCGUUAUCCGGAAUUAUUGGGCGUAAAGCG